GCGCUCGCUUCAGCAGCACAUAUACUAAAAAUGAUACAGAGAAGAUUAGCAUGGUCCCUGCACAAGGAUCACACUCAAAUGUUAAAUAUUAUAAUUAAAA
rfam:Nomascus leucogenys chromosome 14, whole genome shotgun sequence.